CCUACGGGUGGCAGCAGUGGGGAAUAUUGGACAAUGGGGGGAACCCUGAUCCAGCGACGCCGCGUGAGUGAAUAAGUAUUUCGGUAUGUAAAGCUCUAUCAGCAGGGAAGAAAGCAAUGACGGUACCUGACUAAGAAGCCCCGGCUAACUACGUGCCCGCAGCCGCGGGAAUACGUAGGGGGCAAGCGUUAUCCGGAUUUACUGGGUGUAAAGGGAGCGUAGACGGCGAUGCAAGUCUGAAGUGAAAGGCGGGGGCCCAACCCCCGGACUGUGUUGGAAACGGGAUGGCUGGAGUGCGGGAGAGGUAAGUGGAAGUCGUAGUGGAGCGGUGAAAUGCGUAGAUAUUAGGAGGAACACCAGUGGCGAAGGCGGCUUACUGGACGGUAACUGACGUUGAGGCUCGAAAGCGUGGGGAGCAAACAGGAGUAGAUACCCUGGUAGUC
rnacentral:rRNA from 1 species